AUUGAACGCUGGCGGCAGGCCUAACACAUGCAAGUCGAACGAGUGGCGGACGGGUGAGUAAUGUCUGGGAAACUGCCUGAUGGAGGGGGAUAACUACUGGAAACGGUAGCUGAUACCGCAUACCAUCGGAUGUGCCCAGAUGGGAUUAGCUAGUAGGUGGGGUAAAGGCUCACCUAGGCAACGAUCCCUAGCUGGUCUGAGAGGAUGACCAUCCACACUGGAACUGAGCAACGGUCCAGACUCCUACGGGAGGCAGCAGGGGGGAAUAUUGCACAAUGGGCGCAAGCCUGAUGCAGCCAUGCCGCGUGUAUGAAGAAGGCCUUCGGGUUGUAAAGUACUUUCAGCGGGGAGGCGUUACCCGCAGAAGAAGCGCCGGCUAACUCCAUACCAGCCGCCGCGGUAAUUC
rnacentral:rRNA from 1 species